rnacentral:rRNA from 1 species
GAAAUUACUUACCAGGGUACUGUUAGUUAAGAUCUUUAAACCCAAAGAAUUUGGCGGUAUCUCAUUCCAUUCAGAGGAACCUACCCCGUGAUUGAUAGUACACGAUUAACUUUACUUAAUUUAUUUGUUUGUAUAUCUCCGUUAUCAGAAAAUCUUUUUAGAGUUAUAAUUUUCUUGAUUCAAAAUUAUGAAAUAUUUCAGGUCAAGGUGCAGCUUAUAGUUAAGAGGAGGUGGGUUACAAUAGGUUAUUGUCUAUUACGGAUUUGAUGAUGAAAAAUUGUUAAUGAAGGUGGAUUUGAUUGUAAUUUAAUUUAUUUAUUAAUGAAGCAGAUAAUCAUAUAG